UGCAGCAACGCCGCGUGAGGGAUGACGGCCUUCGGGUUGUAAACCUCUUUUAGCAGGGAAGAAGCGAGAGUGACGGUACCUGCAGAAAAAGCGCCGGCUAACUACGUGCCAGCAGCCGCGGUAAUACGUAGGGCGCAAGCGUUAUCCGGAAUUAUUGGGCGUAAAGAGCUCGUAGGCGGUUUGUCGCGUCUGCUGUGAAAUCCCGAGGCUCAACCUCGGGCCUGCAGUGGGUACGGGCAGACUAGAGUGCGGUAGGGGAGAUUGGAAUUCCUGGUGUAGCGGUGGAAUGCGCAGAUAUCAGGAGGAACACCGAUGGCGAAGGCAGAUCUCUGGGCCGUAACUGACGCUGAGGAGCGAAAGGGUGGGGAGCAAACAGGCUUAGAUACCCUGGUAGUCCACCCCGUAAACGUUGGGAACUAGUUGUGGGGUCCAUUCCACGGAUUCCGUGACGCAGCUAACGCAUUAAGUUCCCCGCCUGGGGAGUACGGCCGCAAGGCUAAAACUCAAAGGAAUUGACGGGGACCCGCACAAGCGGCGGACCAUGCGGAUUAAUUCGAUGCAACGCGAAGAACCUUACCAAGGCUUGACAUAUACGAGAACGGGCCAGAAAUGGUCAACUCUUUGGACACUC
rnacentral:rRNA from 1 species